rnacentral:snoRNA from 1 species
AUCCCAUGAUGAGGACAGGCGGCCAUAUACUCCUGUAGUUGUUCCCAUGCCUUGGGAAUAGACUCAUCUCUCUUCUACUGGAAACUUGAAAUUCUCCCACGAAGGGC